GACGAACGCUGGCGGCGUGCCUAAUACAUGCAAGUAGGACGCAGUUGUGAACGGGUGAGUAACGCGUAGGUAACUACCUAUUAGAGGGGGAUGACUAUUGGAAACGAUAGCUAAUACCGCAUACUAGUAGAUGGACCUGCGUUGUAUUAGCUAGUAGGUAGGGUAAUGGCCUACCUAGGCAACGAUACAUAGCCGGCCUUGGAUGGAGGUCGGCCACACUUGGACUGGGACACGGGCCAGACUCCUACGGGAGGCAACAGUAGGGAAUCUUCGGCAAAUGGGGGAACCCUGACCGAGCAACGCCGCGUGAGUGGAAAAGGUUUUCGGAUCGUAAAGCUCUGUUGUUAAGGAAGCGGUACUUAACCAGAAAGGGACGGCUAACUACGUGCCAGCAGCCGCGGUAAUUC
rnacentral:rRNA from 1 species